UAUCACGUGAAAGUUUUAUUCUCAAGGGCUUCAGACACAUGCAGACCGAGUAAGCUCAGAUGUCCAGCCCCAUAAGAGAGUGACACCAUUUGUUACUUUGCUCAAGUUACUAAAUUGUAAAUAGAAGAAUCAACUCAUACUACCUUAAAUAAGGAAAGGGACAGAGAAAAGCACACAGGGGGCCAGAGCUGCAACGUGAAAAGCCGCCCAGGGUGGAACAAGGUGUAACAAUGCCGCUCUUGCUGUAGUUUGCCUCCAGCGUGGUACCCUUCACAAAUGCUGUGAUUUCUCCAUGGAGAUACUCGACACUGAAUAAAACAGCCACCACCUCAGCCUCACGCCACUGUCAGACACCACCAGUGCCGUCACAAGAGCAGCGGCUCCUUGGCUAACCUGCAUCUGUCCGUGCCGUUCCCUCCGCUGCGCUGAUGAAACCUCCUCACGGAUGAGCUCCUCCUUGUUGGAAGCAAGCCUGGGAAACGUCUGCUGAGUGAGAUACUUUGCAUGACGGCUUUUUUAGAGUUCCAGUUCUGCCACACUCAGUUAAUCCUCAAGUAGAGCCCUGUGUUCUCUCCGUGCUGGGUCCAUAUCACGCAGCUGUUUUUCUGAUGUCGUACAUCAGUGUAAACAAGGAUGAAGAGAGUUGGCCGUGUUUGUCUCUGAUUUUGUUUCAUCUCAGGAAAAACCGAAGAGGAGGAGCCAGGUCAGGAGCCUGGUAAAAGACGGAUGGAAGAAUGCGCUUUUAGAUCUGCAGCCAUGACGGACCUCGGUGCUGAAACCCCGAAUGAGAUGGUCAGAACAGCGGCCCACGUCAGAGGACGGAAGAUAGCACUGCACGCUGGAUGAUGGUGGAAAUGGCCCCGGAGACACUGAAAAGCUGAUGGCUCCUACUUUUCCAUUUUCUUUGGUUUGGACUUUCGAGACUUGAUGCAUAAGGAGUGAUAUGUUUGAAGUAAUUUGAGUUUUUAAAAAUAUCAAACACAGUUUCCUAUGGUGUUUAUUUUAUUUAUGUUUACUUACCUCAAUAAAGUAUGAACAUCUCAGGAUGAGUGCUUGUGUUUCAGAUGUCCCAUAAUUGUACAUUUACUCAAAAAUUUUAGGAGUCAGAUUUACCAUUUUCU
rnacentral:lncRNA from 1 species